rnacentral:rRNA from 1 species
UACGGCCUACGGGAGGCAGCAGUGAGGAAUAUUGGUCAAUGGGCGCAAGCCUGAACCAGCCAAGUCGCGUGAGGGAUGACGGUCCUAUGGAUUGUAAACCUCUUUUGUCGGGGAGCAAGGCCCGCCACGUGUGGCGGGAAGGAGAGUACCCGAAGAAAAAGCAUCGGCUAACUCCGUGCCAGCAGCCGCGGUAAUACGGAGGAUGCGAGCGUUAUCCGGAUUUAUUGGGUUUAAAGGGUGCGUAGGCGGACGGGUAAGUCAGCGGUAAAAACCCGGGGCGCAACCCC